GUAAAAUGAGGAUAUAAUCUACAAAUAGGGUAAUUAAUAUUAAAUAAACAUUAUAUAUAUAGUAGGCACUCAAUAAGUUUGUUAAAUCAUAUUACUUGAACAGAAAUGUCAACUUCAAAAAGUCAAAACUGACUGUUUUAAACCCGCCUGAGGCCUAGAAGGUUGGCCUCAAUUCUCAGUGUUUCAGAAUGGGCUACUUACAACAGAACCUUGAAUUAUAUAUGAGAGCUCAUCAACUGAUUACUGACUUCUGAUUCUUCCUGAGCUAGAAACUACUCACAUGUCCUCUGUAAAUCAUGACCUGAGAGUUUGCCUGGAGCAGUCCCAAUUGGACUUUUUCCUCUUCUUACCUCUUUCUCUUCUUGCCCUCCCCCUCCGCCAGGCAUCAUCUCCCUUAACCAGUCUAAUCCACAAUGAAAAUAUAGUUACUUUCAGCUUCUCAAUUUUUUCGUGGUUUCUCCAUGAUGAUACCACCCAUUUCCACUCCUUUGCAGGGUGGGUGCUCCUGCUGUUAUAUUGAAGUAACUCAACAGUAAAAUGAGACCAAUGACUAACAUCUUGGGAGUGAUUAUUUAUUCAGUGAGAUCAAAUGGUAAGAAUUUGCUAUCUCAGAAAAACAGGAAUUAGGCAGGCAAGUUUUCCCUUUUACUUUAAAAAAGUUUAUGUAAACUUUACAUAUAUAUGUUAAGUUAUGAAGCAUACAAAUAAAUGAGGGAACCCACAA
rnacentral:antisense_RNA from 1 species